UCUCUUCCUUUCUCUGCGUCGACCACCACCUCCAUUUCCCUAUCCGCGACGAUUCGACCCACCGGCCGAUGCCACCUCCAUUUUCCCCUCCCUCUGCCGGCGAUUCGACUCACCGGCCGCGGCCGCGAUCUGCCACCUUUCGCCGCCUCCUAGAGAUCUGCUAUUCCACCUUCUUCGAUGCCACCUCCAUUUUCCCCUCCCCCCUCCGGCGAUUCGACUCACCGGCCGCAUUCCACCGCGAUUCGCAACGAUGAGAUCUGCCCCUUCCACAGUUCCACCUUCUGUUUCGAGGUCCGGCGAAGGGCGCGCCCGCUAGAGAUCUGCUCUUCCACCUUCUCCGAUGCCACCUCCAUUUUCCCCUCCCUCCCCCGGCGAUUCGACUCACCGGCCGCAUUCCACCGCGAUUCGCAGCGAUGAGAUCUGCCCCUUCCACAGUUCUACCUUCUGAUUCGAGGUCCGGCGAAGGCCGCCUCUUUGAGAUUUCCGGCGCGAAUCGCUGCGCCCCUAGAUCCCCAAAUCCUCACCGCCUCUUUGCGAUUUUCGGCGACCACGGCAGCCAUGGCCGCCGAUCUGCCCCUCCCACCACCAGAAAACCAGAAAUCGAUCUGCCACCUCCCUUCCCCCUAUGAUUUUUGGUUCUAGGUGCCUGGUCCAGAACCGCCGCUCGCCAGCCGCUGUGUUGCAGUCGCCCACUCCUAUUCUCACUUCAACUGCUGAUAGGAUUGAAAAACAUCUUUGCCAGGCAACUUCCUAAUAUGCCGAGAGAAUACAUUGUACGUUUCCUAAUGGACAGGCGUGCCCCUGGUUUUGAACCUUUUCUGUAAAGCUUAUGUGCAAUUAUUCAAUUAGCUUCUUUUUAUGUUGCUGGGUUUUGGUUAUUUAUUCCAUUAGCGUAAGAACAAAGCUGUGUUGGUUAAUGUUUAGUUGGUUAUCUGCUUCUAUCUCACAAUAAAUGAGAACGUAUCAACAGUAGUUGGCAGUUAGAGAUGAUUGAAUUUUUUUUGCAUUAGAUUGAUUUAUCAAUCUAUUGGUUGGCAUCUAUGUUUAUAAAAGUUUUGAGUUAUACAAUUAAUUCAUGUAGACUAAAUUAUACUACUAAUGAUUGUUUUUCUUUGAUGCAGAAAGACAACUUUGCUAGGGUGAUUUUAACAUUCUCUAGAAUCGCAAAUGAGAAUUUUUUAAUUUAAGCUGUGUUUUUUUCUUUUGCUUUUUAAUGUAAUUGAUUAUUACUUUGAUUCCUCAAUUAUUCUAUUAUUCAAUUAAUAUUUAUCGCUA